UACGUAGGGGGCAAGCGUUGUCCGGAAUUAUUGGGCGUAAAGCGCGCGCAGGCGGCUAUGUAAGUCUGGUGUAUAACCUCGGGGCUCAACCCCGGGUCGCACUGGAAACUGUGUAGCUUGAGUACAGAAGAGGAGAGUGGAAUUCCACGUGUAGCGGUGGAAUGCGUAGAGAUCCGGAAGAACACCAGUGGCGAAGGCGGCCCGCUGGGCAGUGGCUGACGCUGAAGCGCGACAGCGUGGGGAGCAAACAGG
rnacentral:rRNA from 1 species